AGCGAACGCUGGCGGCAGGCCUAACACAUGCAAGUCGAACGAACGUACCGGGGUUAGUGGCGGUCGGGUGAGUAACACGUGGGAAGGUGCCGUUAGGUUUGGAAUAAUACAGGGAAAUUUGGGCUAAUGCCGAAUGUGUCCUUCGGGGGCAGGAUUUGUCGCCCUUGGAUCGGCCCGCGAUGGUUGAGCUUGGUGGGUUAGGUAAUGGCUCAGCAGGGCGACGAUCAGUAGCUGGUCUGAGAGGAUGAGCACCCACAUUGGGACUGAGACGCAGCCCAGACUCCUACGCGAGGCAGCAGAGGGGAAUCUAGCGCAAUCGGCUAAAGCCUGACGCAGCCCGGCCGGGAAAAUGAUGAAGGUCGGAGGAAUGUAAAGUUCUUUCACCGGGGACGAUAAUGACGGUACCCGGAGAAGAAGCCCCGGCUAACUUCGUG
rnacentral:rRNA from 1 species